rnacentral:tRNA from 3 species
GCUGGUGUGGCUCAGUUGGUAGAGCAGCUGAUUCGUAAUCAGCAGGUCGCCGGUUCAAGUCCGGCCACCAGCU